AGGAGUAAGGCACAGUAUGGCAUCUGAGCAGAUCAUCAUGAACUUCAUUUAGUUCCAUCAGCCAAUACAAACCAUUCAAACAGUUCAGUCACUCAGCCCUAUCCAGUGGACAUGAUGCUCUCACGGUCCUGCUUUACCGCCACCUACAACACCCUGAUGAGAAUUCACUCACAGAUGGUAUGUAGGCUGGUUAAUGGCACCUGCAGGCCUGUUUGAGGGACAACAGGACAGAACAUCUCAGAAUGCUUGGACCUCAGCUGAGACCCUCUUCUCCUUCCCUGUCCUUCAAGGACAGUCCCUUCUUCUUCUUCUACACUUGCUGUUAGGCAUGAUGCCCUCAAAGUAUGUUGCUCUCAUGUUGUGUGGUAUUACCUAUAGAUGACUCCUAGACACUUUCAAAUUGUUUGCCUGUGAAUGGUUGUCCACAUCAGGCUAUUUACCUUUUUAAAUACUACAUCCCUCACAGAAUUUGAAUGAUCCCUCAACUGCCCCGUGGUCUCUUUCUCUCCAGGAUACAUCAGGGGAAGUUGCUUUGCUUUAGACAAACCCCUCGUCCUAAAUUCUGCUCACUCAUGUUCAACUGCUUUUUGAUCAAAUUUGUUUAAUUCAAUGUCAUUUUUUUUAACAGAAAGUUGACAAGGCACUUGUAUGGAUGGAUGUUGGCAUAGGGGAUGAAAGUGGAUAGAUGUGUGUAGAUGGGUUUGGUUGAAGAAACUCCCUCUGCCUCUAGCUCCUGUAUUCAAUACUUGCCAAAUACAUUCACCAUCCACUUCAGCUAGCAUUACCUGUUUUUAGGCCUGUUUAAAAAUCGUAAGGUCAAGCACUUUGGAUGAAGUGUCAAAAUGUGACGUAGGCUGUGUUGUCAUGUUUAUGAAUGUGUCGGUAGUGUAUGAACAAUAACGUAUCCAAUGGACAGUUUCUUAAAUCUGACAAGGGUUGAUUACUGAUUUUUCAUCCAGUAGUUGGCAGUAAUGUGUUACCCACCUCAGGAACACGAUUGACCUGGUCCAGUUCAAAUAGUGAUUAGAGGCCCAACCUUUGUUCUUUAGGGGUAGUUUACCUUAACCUCAAAUGCAGAUUAAUCUUGUAGGCCACUAAAAACCAUACGCAAUAUAGUAUAACCUAAAAAAAAAUUGUAAGUACACUGUCUCACUGGGUCUUUUCCAAAGAGGUCUAAUGUGAGAGGUUUGCUGCGGCUCUGCAUGAUUAUGGAUUAGAGUAAAAGAGAUUCAUAGCCAAAGGCCCGAACCUACUAGCCUGGCUGAUGCCUAAUUCAAAGUCCUCCUGACUUCAGGGUCUGGAAAGGCUCUUUUAAUGUUGUCAGCCCGAUGCGUUGAUAAUAAAGGGGGCUGUGCUUUUUUACUGAUUGGUUCUCCUCUGUGUCUUUCUCACUCAAACUCCCACAGGCAGAGCCACACAGAGCCCCCCAGAAAAAAACUACCUUUUUGAAAGAAUCAAUCAAUGAGUCCACACAAUUUCUGAGUGAAUAUUGUAUUAACAAACGGCCUCCUGUCCAGACCAGUGAGUCGCAGCUAUUCCUCGCUGUGUGGUCAUUUGAGUCACGUCAGCCAGGCUUCAAACCGACAGGCACAACCAACAAACAGAUGACCGGGUGCACUUACACAUAAAAGUUAUGGACAUUGUAGGCGUGUAUUCUCAAAGCCUGAGGAGAGCAGAUUGAGGAUCAUUGAGCAGGUCUCCAUUGUCAAUACAAUAUAGUAAAACUGAUCCUCUAUCUGUCCCCAAAGGCUUUUUGUAGAUCAUAAAAGAAGACUGUAUGGUCAGUGAUGAGAGCUUAUGGUGAGGCAGGGAAGCCAGACUCUGGUGUGUGUGUGUGUUGUUGUCACGCCCUGGCCUUAGUAUUCUUUGUUUUCUUGAUUAUUUUAGUUAGGUCAGGGUGUGACAUGGGGAAUGUUUAUGUUUUGUUAGUUUUGGGUGUUUAUAUGGUAAAGGGGUUAUGGGGUGUAGUAUAUGGGUUUGUGUUGAGUGUAGAUGUCUAGCGUUGUCUAUGUAUGUUUAGUUGUCUAGGAGAGUCUAUGGUUACCUGAAUGAGUUCCCAAUUAGAGACAGCUGAUUUCGGUUGUCUCUGAUUGGGAGCCUUAUUUAGGGUAGCCAUAGGCUCUCAUUGGUUGUGAGUAAUUGUCUAUGUAGAACGUUUGUAGCCUGUAUGUAUGUGCACAACGUUUGUAGCUUCACGGUCGUUUUGUUAUUUUGUUAAAGUGUUUCGUGUUUAUUGUUUGUCAUUUUUUUUUAAAUAAAAGAAGAUGGCUUAUUUUCCAACUGCUGCAUUUUGGUCCGUCAUUCCGCCAUACGAUCGUGACAGAAUUACUCACCAUAGGACCAAGCGGCAUGGA